rnacentral:rRNA from 1 species
UAGGGAAUCUUCGGCAAUGGACGAAAGUCUGACCGAGCAACGCCGCGUGAGUGAAGAAGGUUUUCGGAUCGUAAAACUCUGUUGUUAGAGAAGAACAAGGACGUUAGUAACUGAACGUCCCCUGACGGUAUCUAACCAGAAAGCCACGGCUAACUACGUGCCAGCAGCCGCGGUAAUACGUAGGUGGCAAGCGUUGUCCGGAUUUAUUGGGCGUAAAGCGAGCGCAGGCGGUUUCUUAAGUCUGAUGUGAAAGCCCCCGGCUCAACCGGGGAGGGUCAUUGGAAACUGGGAGACUUGAGUGCAGAAGAGGAGAGUAGAAUUCCAUGUGUAGCGGUGAAUUGCGUAUAUAUAUGGAGGAACACCAGUGGCGAAGGCGGCUCUCUGGUCUGUAACUGACGCUGAGGCUCGAAAGCGUGGGGAGCAAACAGG